CUUUUGGGCUUAAUAGGGAACGGGGUGUGAAUCCCCGACAGUCCCGCUGCUGUAAGUUCCGUUUUCAAGCUGUCGCACACUGAUGUCACUGGUAAUUCCGGGAAGGCGUGUCGACGGUUGGGAACAAGUCAGAAGACCUGCCGCUUCCU
rnacentral:ncRNA from 1 species